rnacentral:lncRNA from 1 species
CGUUAUAGACUCAAAUAAAAAAUUUCUAAAUUUUUUUAUUGGUUUUUCCCUUGCGUAAGCGCAAGGCAAGAAGGUACGUUACCCCUCCAUACCUCCCUCGGGGAGGCUUAUCAUAGGAACGUUACCCCUCCAUACCUCCCUCGGGGAGGCUUAUAUGAAAUUCCGUGCAAACAAGAGGGUAACAACACUAUAACUACACUAGGAGCGUUACCCCUCCAUACCUCCCUCGGGGAGGCUUACCGGACAAUAAACUCAGUAGUUCUAAGUAGUUCUAUAAGAUACUAAUAUAGAGCUAUGAAGUUAACGUUCGGGUGCUAUCUCCAAUAGCCCCCUCACUCUUCCUCUUUUCACUCUAUCUGGGUGUCGCUAAGGACCCACCUCCCUCCUCCUUUAAAAAUACGGGAGGUGGGCUUCGCGCACCCUAUAAACUAUCCAGCAGUUACGCUCGGGGGCUAUAGCCAAUAGCCCCCUCACUGGUAGUUACUUUUUUGUUGCUAAUAAGGCAAGGCUUACCGGACACUUUCUCGAAACAACCUAGGGAGCUUUACAACCUCACGCUUGCAACCGUAGGCGGGAGAUAGAUAUAAGCCUAACUCAAAAUCUAAUAAAAAGUCUAUAAUGUAUCCCGAUGGUGGAUCAAAGCUGAGCUUUGACCCUUGUAGCCGUUAGGGGGGAGGGUGUUUUCUCGUGCAUACAUAUAUUUUGGUGCUAUACCAUAUAUGAAUUUCCCAAAGGGCUAUAGAAAGAAAAAGGAUGUCUUUUUCGGCUAUAGAUCUUCUCCAUUUCUAGGUUUCUAGAAAUGCUGUAAAGUGGUACUCGAAAUCACUGUUAGUGUGAUCUCAGAGCGGAGUAUCAAGAGUUAAGUCUGAAACCUCUGGCAUUCUUACUUGUAGUUCAGAGCUUAAGAGAACGCUCACGGGGUUAACCGUCCGUGGCGGAUCAAUCUACUUACGUGAAUCAAAGGCUA